rnacentral:rRNA from 1 species
AGGGUUUGAUCAUGGCUCAGGACGAACGCUGGCGGCGUGCUUUACACAUGCAAGUCGAGCGAUGAGAUCCCUUCGGGGAAGGAUUAGCGGCGAACGGGUGAGGAACACGUGAGGAAUCUGCCUUCAACACUGGGAUAACUCCGGGAAACCGGGGCUAAUACCGGAUACGAGACCUGCAGGCAUCUGUGGGUCUGGAAAGUUUUUCGGUUGAAGAUGACCUCGCGGCCUAUCAGCUUGUUGGUGAGGUAAUGGCUCACCAAGGCGACGACGGGUAGCCGGCCUGAGAGGGCGACCGGCCACACUGGGACUGAGACACGGCCCAGACUCCUACGGGAGGCAGCAGUGGGGAAUAUUGGGCAAUGGAGGGAACUCUGACCCAGCGACGCCGCGUGCGGGAUGAAGGCCUUCGGGUUGUAAACCGCUUUCAGCAAGGAAGAAGCGAAAGUGACGGUACUUGCAGAAGAAGCACCGGCUAACUAUGUGCCAGCCGCCGCGGUAAUACA